GCGAGAACCGAGAGGAGCUUCCGGUUCACUAAAUUUCCCCAAAAAAAUCAUAGAAUUUUACUUUACUCCAUUUUGGUCCAUGUUUUCUAUUAGCGCCCCCAGCUUGUACAAAAGCCCAACACCUGUGAAUUCAUAUGGACGAUUGUGCACUUCUCUCUUCUUCUCUCCGUGUUCUCUAUUUUUUGUGUCAUUUUUCGCUCUAGUCGGUUUUCUCAGCUGCUUCUCCUGCCAGGAACAACUGAAGCACGACUUGAAAUUCUGUCUAAUUGUUUCUAACUAGAUUGCACUUGCAUGAAGCUUAUUUGGAAGCUAAAUUGCUUGGAUAAGUUGGUAACGUGUUGCAAUAAGGUUCUCAAAAACAUUUGUCCUGCUGAAUUUUUUUUUUUGUCUAACGAUUAGUUAAGACUUUAAAAAAUUUCAGUUUAGAUGAGAAGGAAAAGCAGAAGAGUCUCAAAAAUCUGCCGUCAUUCUCUUCUUUACCUUUGAAUAAGGAAAGAUAUAUGUGACAAUAAUGUAUGAUCUUUUAUUAUGUUUGGUAUAGAAAAACAAGGAUUUUGGAAGUGAUUCAUUCUUUUGUUAUCCCUGCUGGCAUUUGUUAUUAUUUCUCCUCCAUUGCACUUUGUGAUUUUGGGAUUUGUUUAACUACCUAACUUCUAUGGUGCCGACUGGCGAGUUAUUGUUAGCUCUUUUCUCAGUAUACAUUCCCUUACUUGGACACAUUAGGGAUCAAAUUGUUCGCAGCUUUGAAUAAGGGAAGCAAUAUAGCUCAAGGAAACGGUAAAAAGAUGGUUGUGGUAGAACUCACAUUUUAUGUAGAAGUCCAAAAAAGAACUCAUAUUUGAUGCAAAAGAUCUGCAGCAGUUGUUCUAUUCUGAUCAUGACAUCGUUGUGCUUACACACUACCAUCCAGCAUAGUUAUAGUUGAAUUGCGGAAAAUUAUUAGCAAGAAAAACCUGGACAAAAAGCUUGUGCAGAUAGAGAGAACCUGGACCAAAAGAUUCUGCGAGAGCUCUAGAAUAGAAUUGACAAGUUGAUGCUGUUGUUUUUCCAGUGCGACUUCCCAAGAAUGACUUUUGUCGGACUUCAUAUUGUUGAAGUUUUCCCCGAAUAUAACAAAAUGUAGGAGUUGUGUACAAUAUUUUCUUUCCCUGAAGUAAGUAUCAAUCUGAUGAGAAUAUUUGAGCUAUAACACAGUUUCUCAUUUUAUAGCA